AGCGAACGCUGGCGGCGUACUUAACACAUGCAAGUCGAACGAGGAUCAUCGGGUUAGCAAUAAUUCGGUGGUCCUAGUGGCGCACGGGUGAGUAACACGUGGGUGACCUGCCCUUGAGCUCGGGAUACCCCCUCGAAAGGGGGGCGUAAUACCGGAUACGUUCCUCGGUCGAAAGACUGAGGAGGAAAGGUGGCGCAAGCUGCCGCUCUUGGAGGGGCUCGCGGCCUAUCAGCUAGUUGGCGGGGAACGGCCCACCAAGGCUAUGACGGGUAGCUGGUCUG
rnacentral:rRNA from 1 species